AACACAUAAGAAAUAGAUAUAUAAAGAAGGAAAAGACGAUCAUACCCUUGAGGCAAUUCUGCGUCGCACGAGCAAGAACCUAACACUACCACAAAAGUGGGAAUAAGAAACACACAAUACACAACAGUCAAGUUGGAUAGGCGAUCUUCUAGAAUUUUACAGAUCGCCUAAGUAAGAUGAGCGCUUUAUAAGUUGAAACUUAUAGAGUGCCUUCCUUAUUUAACCAUUCUAUAUGAUUUAUUAUUAUUUUAAUGAAAAAGUGACUUUGCAAUAUAAAGCGCCUAUCUUAGUUAACAACUCUAUUUGUUUUUAACAUAAUAAUAAAAAAUUAAAGAAAUGAUUACAAAAUAAUUAAAAAAAACUGAAAAAAAACCCUAGAGCUCCUUUGAUUUUGCAAUUAGUCGUUCACUCUCAUUCCCCUCAAAAAAAUUUCUUUCUCUCACCUCCUUUUCCUCCUCUCUUCCUCUUUAGAUCUACCUAAUUUGUUGAAUGAACAGAUGAACAGGGAGCCUCUCAUCUUCUUCUAGCCCACCAUAGAAGCGCGCACUCUACAUUCACCGCAGACGUUUCCUCGAGUCAUCUUCAUUUCUUCUACACUCGAUUAUUGAAGACUAUUGGUUAUAUUUGAAGCUGCUGAUUUUAGAUCUAAAGUUUCUAUUUGGUGCGAUUUGUUCUGAUUUUGUGCGUUGAUGGUGUGGUUGUGGGUGUUUUGUGCGGUUGCUCUAAUUUUGUGCGCCGAUGGUGGAAGGCUGGAAGUGUUGCUGUAAUGGUGGCAGAUUUAUGAGUGGAAAUUUGCUUGGCAACUACAGGCUUGACACAAUCGGCUUAAUUAGUUGUAUCUUGUAUUAUAGAACUUGUAAUUUAAAUUUCUUGUUUAGUUGUAUUAUGGAACUUGUAAUGCAAAUUUCUUAUAAGUAAUUUAAUUAUUAUAAAUUAUUUUAAUCAA